rnacentral:misc_RNA from 1 species
CCGAUUCUUCCCGGGCCCUUGGAUGGCCCGGGGCGGUUGGGUCAUCGUCCGGGGGGAGGUUCUCCCUAGACGGGCCCCAAAGGCAAUGACGGUGCCGCGGUUUGGCCCUGGAGCGCAAUCGGGUUUUGGCUCCGGAGGGGCCGGAUCGGGCCACCUGUCUCUCUCCCCUGGCGUUCUUGAGAACGCCUCGCUGUCCGUCC